AUAUAUAAAUUUUAUUUUAAAAAAAUUGAAGAAUUUUUGCUCCACAAUCAAGUGUCUUGACUUUGGUACUCCAAAACUGUUCACAUAAAAUGAGACUGAGGAAUGUAAUUCAAUCCCAAAGUAUGUUUGACAUUCCAAUAACAAGAUGAACAGAAAAUGUUGUUCGAACGGGAGGAAAAUGAUAAUAUGACGAAAAUGCACUUGGGGUGUGUUUAGGAGCAAAUGAUUGGAGUUUUAGAAGUUGAAAAGUCGUACAAGGGGGUUGAUCCCGAGGGCAUUUCAGUCCUUAGAAUUAUGUUCCCCCAUGAGUUUGCUACCCCGUUUUCCCGUAUUACGUACUUGUUUAUUUUUGCUACUUAUAGGAAAUACAGCUUUUUCCAUUUUGGUUACUGAAUUAAACACUCAUCAGCUUAUAAUCAACACACGAAUGACCUUAGUACGAUUCUCUAUUUUAAAAUUCCCUUACUGUUGCAUUUUAGUAUGAUUUAUUAUUAUUAUUAAUAAUAAUAAUAUUCUUGAAAUUUUUUUAAAAACACAGGUUCCACCUGCUGUCGGAAUUUGAUAACGGGAAGAGAAGUUGCAGGAAACGUUUGGCAGAUCAUAACAGAAGGAGGAGAAAAAAUCAACAAGCAAACAUAGAAAACAGCAAUAAGUCUCAACUUGACAGUACCAGAAAUUCCUCAUCCGACAGUCUUGCAAGGUCUCCACCAGAUUCAGGAGCUCAUUCUUCAUCAGUGACAGUGGCAAUUUCACCACCAAGAAUCUCACUGGAUUGUUUUAGGCAAAGACCAUAGCAAAAAUGCUGCUGCUGCUAGCCUGCUACAACAUUAUUUCAUCAUUGACAAGUUCAUGACUUUUCUUCUCCAAUGGGUGACUCCAUGAUCUGCUUCCUUUUACUUCUGAUUUCAAGCUCUAAUGGCUACUACCACUACCAAGUAUUAGUACUAAUUACUACUAUUUAAUAGGUUAAAAUGAAUGAUUGAAGUAUUAGAAUUAUGUUAACCCCUUAUAUUUUGUCCCACUUUCUAUUAAUUCCAAUAUCUUUUAGUAUUAUAAUGAUGUUAACACAUUAAUUCCAAUCUCGUUCACAAAAGAUUGGGAUUUGAGUUUUAGUAUAGGGGGACUGCUUUGUAUUGUCACUUGUAGAAACAUAUUAAUCUUGAAAAUGGGAAAGGAUUGAAAUUGGUUUUCCCAAUUUGUA